GAUGAACGCUGGCGGCGUGCCUAACACAUGCAAGUCGAGCGAACGGACGAGAAGCUUGCUUCUCUGAUGUUAGCGGCGGACGGGUGAGUAACACGUGGAUAACCUACCUAUAAGACUGGGAUAACUUCGGGAAACCGGAGCUAAUACCGGAUAAUAUUUUGAACCGCAUGGUUCAAAAGUGAAAGACGGUCUUGCUGUCACUUAUAGAUGGAUCCGCGCUGCAUUAGCUAGUUGGUAAGGUAACGGCUUACCAAGGCAACGAUGCAUAGCCGACCUGAGAGGGUGAUCGGCCACACUGGAACUGAGACACGGUCCAGACUCCUACGGGAGGCAGCAGUAGGGAAUCCUCCGCAAUGGGCGAAAGCCUGACGGAGCAACGCCGCGUGAGUGAUGAAGGUCUUCGGAUCGUAAAACUCUGUUAUUAGGGAAGAACAUAUGUGUAAGUAACUGUGCACAUCUUGACGGUACCUAAUCAGAAAGCCACGGCUAACUACGUG
rnacentral:rRNA from 1 species